rnacentral:rRNA from 1 species
GACGAACGCUGGCGGCGUGCUUAACACAUGCAAGUCGAGCGGAAAGGCUCCUUCGGGGGUACUCGAGCGGCGAACGGGUGAGUAACACGUGAGUAAUCUGCCCUUCACUUGGGGAUAACC